rnacentral:pre_miRNA from 11 species
UUGUAUUGAAAGACCCCCAGAGUGGGGAGACCCUCACUCAAGUCUCGGGAUAAGUCGACGCCCCAAUAAUUCAAGAGAGACC